rnacentral:rRNA from 2 species
GAAUGCUGACAUAAGUAACGAUAAAGCGGGUGAAAAGCCCGCUCGCCGGAAGACCAAGGGUUCCUGUCCAACGUUAAUCGGGGCAGGGUGAGUCGACCCCUAAGGCGAGGCCGAAAGGCGUAGUCGAUGGGAAACGGGUUAAUAUUCCCGUACUUGGUGUUACUGCGAAGGGGGGACGGAGAAGGCUAUGUUGGCCGGGCGACGGUUGUCCCGGUUUAAGCGUGUAGGUGUGUGUUCCAGGUAAAUCCGGUUCACUUUAACACUGAGGCGUGACGACGAGGCACUACGGUGCUGAAGCAACAAAUGCCCUGCUUCCAGGAAAAGCCUCUAAGCAUCAGGUAACACGAAAUCGUACCCCAAACCGACACAGGUGGUCAGGUAGAGAAUACCAAGGCGCUUGAGAGAACUCGGGUGAAGGAACUAGGCAAAAUGGUGCC